GGACCAUAGCUCAGUGAUAGAGCAUUUGCUUUGUAGGCAGAAGGUCCCAGGAUCGAUCCCCAGCAUCUCCA